rnacentral:lncRNA from 1 species
GCAUGGGAACCACAACCACAAUCACCAUGGGGGAAAUGGACAUCACCAUCGCCAUGGAGGACAUGGACACAAUGUAACAUCCCAAAUUUUCAAUUUCGGAUGUUUGCACCUUUUCAUUCCUCAUGCACAUCACUUUGAUCAUAUCUUAAAAUUUCGGUGUUCGUCAUGAUGCAUUAUUGAAAGUGUUUGAAAUGGUGUUUUGGAAUGUGUUAGGUUGAGACAAAUUGAUUUGAGAAUUUUCUAGAAUUUAAAAAUGCAUUCUAGGAUUUUAUUUGGAUUUAUUUAAAGCUUAAAAACAUUAAAAAUAUUUUUAUUAUUUUAUUUUUGAGUGGGAAUAAUUUUCCUGGGCUCUAAAUGAAAUAUAUUAUUUUACAGAAUUUUUGAAAAAUUUUCUGAGACCAUUUGGUAUUUUAAAUGAUUUAAAUGGAUUUUCGGGUGAAUAUUAGAUCCUGAAAAGCAUUUUAUAAUCUUUUUCUUUUAUUCUUUUUUCUUUUUCUCUGGAAGUACGCUUUCUCCGCGGGAAAGCGUUCUCCGCGGGAAAGCGUAUUCUCGGAGAAAUACACUUUCAAUCUUCUCUUCUCUCUCCUUCUCUCUCACUGACAGGUGGGCCCCACCUGUCAUCCCUCACCUCCGGCAACCGCCGCCCACGACCGCCACGCGCCCACGAUUUCUGGCCUAACUGCUGCCGCCGCCUGCCCUUGCACAUGCCUGCGCGCCCGCGCACGCCGGCCCACGCGCGCCAUCCCGCACGCGCGCCCGCCCGUGCUCGCCUACGCCAACCGCCGCCCCGCGCGCGCCUACACCCGCCUCCCGACUCCAACC